rnacentral:rRNA from 1 species
UGUGAUUUCUUAGAUCGUUGCGUCCCUUCGGGGACGACUGGAUAACUGUGGCAAUUCUAGAGCUAAUACAUGCAAUCAAGCUCCGACCUCACGGGACGAGCGCUCUUAUUAGACCAAGGCCAACCUGCCAGGCAACUGGUAGUUAGCUGUGGUGACUCUGGAUAAAGCACAGUUAAUCGCACGACCUUUGCGUCGGCGAUGUAUCUUUCAAGCGUAUGCCCUAUCAGCUGUCGACGGUAGGGUAGCGGCCUACCGUGGCAUCUACGGGUAACGGGGGAUCAGGGUCCGAUCCCGGAGAGUAAGCCUGAGAGACGGCUUACACAUCUAAGGAAGGCAGCAGGCGCGCAAAUUACCCAAUGGGGACACCCUGAGGUAGUGACAAGAAAUAACAAUACGCGACUCUUUCGAGGCCGCGUAAUUGGAAUGAGCACAUUCUAAAUCCUUUAGCGAGGAUCAAUUGGAGGGCAAGUCUGGUGCCAGCAGCCGCGGUAAUUCCAGCUCCAAUAGCGUAUAUUAAAGUUGCUGCAGUUAAAAAGCUCGUAGUUGACAAUCGGCGCUCGUCUCGGCGGUCCUGUUCACGCAGGCACUGCCUUGACGGCUUCUACACACUGGCUUGCGGUCGUGCACGCUCGGCGACGGGUAGCACGCACCGGAGCCCCGGGUGCCCUUCAUUGGGUGCCCGCGGGUGGCCUUUGCGUUUACUUUGAAGAAAUUAGAGUGUUCAAAGCGGGCUCUUGACAGCUCGUAUACUCGGUACAUGGAAUAAUGGAAUAGGACCCUGGUUCAUUUCCGUUGGUCUAUGGACAAUGGGUAAUGAUUAAAAGGGACUGCCGGGGGCAUUGGUAUGGCGGGGGGAGAGGUGAAAUUCUGUGAUCCUCGCCAGACCGACUACAGCGAAAGCAUUGCCA